ACAACGACCGCCGUGCAGGAAGGAAGGUUUCGGUGUCGUAAACUGCUUUUCUCGGGGAAGAGAUUGGACGGUACCCGAGGAAUCAGCCCCGGCUAACUACGUGC
rnacentral:rRNA from 1 species